UACGUAGGGCGCAAGCGUUGUCCGGAAUUAUUGGGCGUAAAGAGCUCGUAGGCGGUUCGGUAAGUCAGGUGUGAAAUCUCCACGCUCAACGUGGAGGCGCCACCUGAAACUGCCGUGACUCGAGUCCGGUAGGGGAGUGUGGAAUUCCCGGUGUAGCGGUGAAAUGCGCAGAUAUCGGGAGGAACACCCGUAGCGAAGGCGGCACUCUGGGCCGGUACGUGGACGCUGAGGAGCGAAAGCGAUGGGGAGCAAACAGGGAAUUAAG
rnacentral:rRNA from 1 species